UUGAACGCUGGCGGCAGGCCUAACACAUGCCAGUCGAGCGGAUGAAGGGAGCUUGCUCCUGGAUUCAGCGGCGGACGGGUGAGUAAUGCCUAGGAAUCUGCCUGGUAGUGGGGGAUAACGUCCGGAAACGGGCGCUAAUACCGCAUACGUCCUGAGGGAGAAAGUGGGGGAUCUUCGGACCUCACGCUAUCAGAUGAGCCUAGGUCGGAUUAGCUAGUUGGUGGGGUAAAGGCCUACCAAGGCGACGAUCCGUAACUGGUCUGAGAGGAUGAUCAGUCACACUGGAACUGAGACACGGUCCAGACUCCUACGGGAGGCAGCAGUGGGGAAUAUUGGACAAUGGGCGAAAGCCUGAUCCAGCCAUGCCGCGUGUGUGAAGAAGGCCUUCGGAUUGUAAAGCACUUUAAGUUGGGAGGAAGGGCAGUAAGUUAAUACCUUGCUGUUUUGACGUUACCAACAGAAUAAGCACCGGCUAACUUCGUG
rnacentral:rRNA from 1 species